ncrna:unclassified sequences RAGATH-10 RNA
AAAACCUCGUCUUGUGUGUUAUAGGAAUACACACGUUCCCUAGCGGAUGGCAAUACCGCCAAAGACGAGGAGAGAGU